rnacentral:rRNA from 1 species
CCUACGGGCGGCAGCAGUAGGGAAUAUUGCUCAAUGGGGGAAACCCUGAAGCAGCAACGCCGCGUGGAGGAUGAAGGUUUUAGGAUUGUAAACUCCUUGUGUUAGAGAAGAGGAUGACGGUAUCUAACGAAUAAGCACCGGCUAACGCCGGGCCAGCAGCCGCGGUAAUACGGAGGGUGCAAGCGUUACUCGGAACCACUGGGCGUAAAGAGUGCGUAGGCGGGGUAAUAAGUCAGAUGUGAAAUCCUGUAGCUUAACUACAGAACUGCCUUUGAAACUGUUACUCUGGAGUGUGGGAGAGGUAGGUGGAAUUCUUGGUGUAGUGGUCAAAUCCGUCGAUAUCA